rnacentral:rRNA from 1 species
AUUGCCCUAGUAACGGCGAGUGAAGCGGCAACAGCUCAAAUUUGAAAUCUGGCCCUCUCAGGGUCCGAGUUGUAAUUUGCAGAGGGUGCUUUGGCGAUGGCUGUGGUCUAAGUUCCUUGGAACAGGACGUCACAGAGGGUGAGAAUCCCGUACGUGGCCGCCAGCCUCCGCCGUGUAAAGCCCUUCGACGAGUCGAGUUGUUUGGGAAUGCAGCUCUAAAUGGGAGGUAAAUUCCUUCUAAAGCUAAAUACUGGCCAGAGACCGAUAGCGCACAAGUAGAGUGAUCGAAAGAUGAAAAGCACUUUGGAAAGAGAGUCAAAAAGCACGUGAAAUUGUUGAAAGGGAAGCGCUUGCAGCCAGACAUGCCUGUAGUUGCUCACCGGGGCUCUUGCCCUGGGCACUCUUCUACGGGCAGGCCAGCAUCAGUCCGGGCGGUUGGAUAAAUGCCUGCUACAUGUACCUCUCUUCGGGGAGGACUUAUAGGGUAGGCGACAUACAGCCAGCCUGGACUGAGGUCCGCGCAUCUGCUAGGAUGCUGGCGUAAUGGCUGUAAGCGGCCCGUCUUGAAACACGGACCAAGGAGUCUAACAUCUAUGCGAGUGUUUGGGUGUAAAGCCCGAGCGCGGAAUGAAAGUGAACGGAGGUGGGAACCCCUCGGGGUGCACCAUCGACCGAUCCUGAUGUCUUCGGAUGGAUUUGAGUAUGAGCAUAGCUGUUGGGACCCGAAAGAUGGUGAACUAUGCCUGAAAUAGGGUGAAGCCAGAGGAAAACUCUGGUGGAGGCUCGCAGCGGUUCUGACGUGCAAAUCGAUCGUCAAAUUUGGGCAUA